rnacentral:rRNA from 1 species
UACGUAGGGUGCAAGCGUUGUCCGGAAUUAUUGGGCGUAAAGAGCUCGUAGGCGGUCUGUCGCGUCGGCUGUGAAAUCCCGGAGCUCAACUCCGGGUCUGCAGUCGAUACGGGCAAACUGGAGUACUGCAGGGGAGACUGGAAUUCCUGGUGUAGCGGUGAAAUGCGCAGAUAUCAGGAGGAACACCGGUGGCGAAGGCGGGUCUCUGGGCAGUAACUGACGCUGAGGAGCGAAAGCGUGGAGAGCGAACAGG